ensembl:lncRNA
GAAGCCUCCUUUAAGGCGGCAGAGGCAGAAGGAGCUGCAAUAUUUAAAAAUUUUCUGGUCUCCUAAUGGGAAAGCACUCUUGCUCUACUUAAACCAACGUGAAGUAAAGUGACAGAUAAACCUCAUUAUUGAUUGUAAGAUUGUGAGCAUGUGUGAGCAAGUGGCUGCAAAUACCCAAGUGUCCAUCUAAAGAGGAGUGGAUAAAUAAUCCAUGGCAGACUCUACCUCUGUGCCUCCAGCAAAGCUCCUGAUCACUUUCAAGAUAAUAGAACUGAACCCCAGAAGAGGAAAGAAAUUUUGCUACAGUCACAUUGUGAAUCAGUGAUGCAUCUGACACAUAACCCUGAGUACUGAGCCCCAGAGAUCGCCUUUAUCUGCACCAACACAUGACUUAAAUUCAGAAGAUCAAGUAGAAUUUUGGUGUAUGUGCAAUGGGGAAGCAGUGUGGGUUUUGUUUUUCAACAGAGCUUUCUUCAGAAGAAGUCCUUUUACACCAAACCGAUCCCAAUUAGCCAUGCUUUUCAGAUAAAGAGUUUACUAAUCAUUCUAAUACAAAUGAUUCAGAAGCUCCUGGAAGCCUGCUGCUCUAAAUAUUAUUUUGUUUUAGCAAUAAUCGUCUUUUACCAUCAAAUAUGCUUCCUCCUCAAUGCAGAAG